rnacentral:rRNA from 1 species
CAAUAGUGUAUAUUAAAGUUGCUGCGGUUAAAAAGCUCGUAGUUGGAUUUCGGAAUGUCGCCGGUCAAAGCUCGUCCUUGUGGCGUGGCUGGACUGGUGCUUCCUAGCUUCGGAUUGGCCAGCAAUGGUCUCCGAUCAUUUACUUUAAAAAAUUAGAGUGUUCAAAGCAGGCGUAACCUUGCCAUUGAAUAUUACAGCAUGGGAUAAUAGAAUAUGACGUUGGUCUUAUUUUGUUGGUUUCUAAGGCUGAUGUAAUGAUUAAUAGGGAUAGUUGGGGUCGCUCGUAUUGAGUUGUCAGAGGUGAAAUUCUAGGAUUUACUCAAGACGAACUAGUGCGAAAGCAUUCGACAAGGAUGUUUUCAUUAAUCAAGAACGAAAGUUGGGGGAUCGAAGAUGAUCAGAUACCGU